UAUAAAUCUUAGACAACAGAAGUUUUCUGAGACCAAACUAGAACAGGAAGAAUGAGCCUGAGCCAACAUGCCGAAGCAGUAGGGGAGGAGAAUGCUGUCACUUAAGCAACCUGUCAGCUGCAUGGAAUGCAGAAGAAGAGGAG